UUCCGGCUGCUCGACUGCCCUGCCGCUGUGCCGCCGGAUUUGGCCGCCUACGCCACCUGCGCCGGAGGAAGUAUUUGCCAUCUGUACGUUGCCUGCACUCUCCUCUUGGUCAAGCCAUUACUGGAAAACUGGUUCACCUUAGUGAACCCAAAAGACACGACUAAGCCAAAGUUCGGAAUAAGGAAGGAUAUAUUCCUUGCAGCAAGUGAGGAAAACAAAGAAUCGUCCCCAAUGCAGUGUCUCUCCAAACAGGAAAAUUGGCACAGAAGGAAUUCAGCAAGAGGCAAUGUGAUAUGGAAGACGUGGAUUAUUUAGAGAGGAUCUCAGUUCUCCGACCAGGGAUUGAACCCAGGCCACGGCAGUAGAAGCCCAGAAUCCUAACCACUAGGCCACCAGGGAACUCCUGGCCAUGUCAUUCUUUUAAAGGUUGUGCCCUGCCCCCUUCCCUCCUAUUUCACUACGACUAGCACUUAAUGAACAAGUAGCCUCAACUACAAUUGCACUAACACCUAGCCUGACAAAGAUGUAGUGACAAUGGAAUGAAAUAACGCAGAAACAUUUUGCACAGUAAAGUAUGGUUCACGUGCUAGUGUUAAUAAAUCCAAGGUCAAGGUUUACAUCCUGCUCUAAACUUUAGCUGUUUGUUGUUUCAUUCUUUGAAACAAGUUAAUGUAGGAUGCUUAGAAAAAGCAGCAGACUGUGGUAGGUACAAAAGACCCCAAAGCACUGAAGAAAUGGUCUUUACCCUCAAGGUUCUACAGUCUAACAGGGAAGGGAGACACCCAGACUGAUCAAACCUAACUUCAGGAUGCCUCAGGGAAGUUUUACAGAGGAAACAAUUUUUAAUCUGGCUUUGAAAUAGUGAAUUUUCCAGAAAGAAAGAAAGGCAUCCCAGACCAAAGAGACUACCACAUAUACAAAUGUGCCCAGCAUAAUGAAAGGGACUUAGCAAACAGUGCCUUUAAUAAAUGUUAGCAGCUAUUAUUAUUGUUACCAUAUUUUAUCAAAAAUAAGCUGCCAGCAAUUAUAAAACAAGCCAUUAUUUUAGGUACAACAUUA